GCAUCGGUAGUUCAAUGGUAGAAUGCUCGUUUCCCAAUUGAGUGACUCGGGUUCGAUUCCCGGCCGAUGCA